rnacentral:rRNA from 1 species
UACGUAGGGGGCAAGCGUUGUCCGGAAUUAUUGGGCGUAAAGAGCUCGUAGGCGGUCUGUCGCGUCUGCUGUGAAAACUCGGGGCUUAACCCCGGGCCUGCAGUGGGUACGGGCAGACUAGAGUGCGGUAGGGGAGACUGGAAUUCCUGGUGUAGCGGUGAAAUGCGCAGAUAUCAGGAGGAACACCGGUGGUGUAGACGGCUCUCUGGACCGUAACUGACGCUGAGACACGAAAGCGUGGGUAGCAAACAGG